rnacentral:rRNA from 1 species
GACGAACGCUGGCGGCGUGCCUAAUACAUGCAAGUCGAGCGGACCAAAGGGAGCUUGCUCCUGGAGGUUAGCGGCGAACGGGUGAGUAACACGUGGGCAACCUGCCUGUAAGACUGGGAUAACAUCGAGAAAUCGGUGCUAAUACCGGAUAAUAAAAAGAACUGCAUGGUUCUUUUUGAAAGAUGGUUUCGGCUAUCACUUACAGAUGGGCCCGCGGCGCAUUAGCUAGUUGGUGAGGUAACGGCUCACCAAGGCAACGAUGCGUAGCCGACCUGAGAGGGUGAUCGGCCACACUGGGACUGAGACACGGCCCAGACUCCUACGGGAGGCAGCAGUAGGGAAUCUUCCGCAAUGGACGAAAGUCUGACGGAGCAACGCCGCGUGAGUGAUGAAGGUUUCGGAUCGUAAAACUCUGUUGUUAGGGAAGAACAAGUGCCGUUCGAAAGGCGGCACCUUGACGGUACCUAACGAGAAAGCCACGGCUAACUACGUGCCAGCAGCCGCGGUAA